GACGAACGCUGGCGGCGUGCUUAACACAUGCAAGUCGAACGAAAAGACGGAAAGAGCUUGCUCUUUUCAGAAUUGAGUGGCAAACGGGUGAGUAACACGUAAACAACCUGCCUUCAGGAUGGGGACAACAGACGGAAACGACUGCUAAUACCGAAUAAGUUCCAAGGGCCGCAUGGCCCAUGGAAGAAAAGGUGGCCUCUACCUGUAAGCUAUCGCCUGAAGAGGGGUUUGCGUCUGAUUAGCUGGUUGGAGGGGUAACGGCCCACCAAGGCGACGAUCAGUAGCCGGUCUGAGAGGAUGAACGGCCACACUGGAACUGAGACACGGUCCAGACUCCUACGGGAGGCAGCAGUGGGGAAUCUUCCGCAAUGGGCGAAAGCCUGACGGAGCAACGCCGCGUGAGUGAUGACGGCCUUCGGGUUGUAAAACUCUGUGAUCCGGGACGAAAAGGCAGAGUGCGAAGAACAAACUGCAUUGACGUACCGGAAAAG
rnacentral:rRNA from 1 species